GGUAUGGGGCACCGCCAUAUUGUGAAAUAGUUCCUAUUAAAAUAAACAAUAAAAUCAAGUUUAACUUUAUAAAAGAAAAUCUAUCCCAAAUUGUUUUCUAACAGCAUAGUGCAAUGGGUUAGAGCAUUAAAAACAAAUCUAAGUCAUAUGAGUCCGAAUCCUGCUGAGGCUUUUAUAAUUUUUACCCUUCCAAAAAUUUUCAAAACAUAUUUUGUUUAAGUAUUGCAAAAUUCUAAAUUGGUGAAAGUAUUUUGAUGAUAAUGAAAUUUUGCCCACGUUAAUUUCAACAGGUGUCCCUUACCCCCAUACUUCAAAGUUAUAAAAAUUUCUUUAAUUAAAAAAGAAAAAAAAGAAUGGUGCCCAGCUCAGAGGAUUAAUUGAAGUAAAAGACUAGCUAGUACAUUUUCAUCAGACAUUCAAAAGAUGGGCUAGUAAACAUUUUACAAAGGUGGCCUCGACAGUAGGUAGAGGGCUUUAACAGCUAAACACUAUGCUUAGAAAAGGCUAAAGAGAUGCUCUGCCUACACACACCUUAAAAGUUUUCCGUUAUAUUGUUUUGUUACUUUUGUAAACUCUUUUCUGUAAAGGAAUUUGACUGCAAUUUAUACACUUUCCUAUUUAGUAUUAACACCUUUGCUUGAACAAUUUUCCCUCAUUGGUAUCCAUGUACUUAUAUGUAGCAACUAUAUCAUUGAUAGACUGUCAAGAUUUGAUUUUCUGUUGAUUUGCUUUGCAAUUUAUUAUUGUGGAUAUUGCCAGUCCCAUAGAUUAACAACAGUUUUCCUUCUAGGGUUUGUUAGGUUUCUUGUUUCGCCAUGGAAAAUAAUAUACAUAUAUCAAUGAAUGCGUAGUAACAUGUGACUUAUUCCUUAUCUGUUUGUUUCCGCAUGGUGAAAGAUUGAUUUAUGGUCGUCAUAUAGAACCAACUCAUAGUAAAUGAUUUUUUUUUUUUCUCAUCAAAGCCAUAUUGUUUUCUUCUAUAUUAUCAAUAAUGAAAGUGGAUUUGACAAGUGGCACAAAAUGUAAUAAAUUAUCAGCGCUUAAUAUACACAUCAAUAACAAAUUUCCAAAAAAAGAUAACUGUGUAUGAUUUAGCAUAUUUAUGACAAGGUGAAUAUAUUGGAUGUGAUGUAGAUGCCUGUGUUAACCAUUGGUCUUGUUUCCAGGGCUACCUGAAAUACCUGGGUAUGGCCCAGACUGCUACGGUCAAGAGAGACGCCCGCAUGGGAGAGGCGGAGGCUAGAAUGGAGGCAGGAAUCAGGGUGGGUAAUCACUCCAGUAAAGAGAAAAAACUGUUUUUAUGUUGACAGAAUUUCCCCCCCCCCCCCCCCC
rnacentral:misc_RNA from 1 species